rnacentral:lncRNA from 1 species
UUCUUACCUGUUUCCCAAACAAUUCUUUCUUUUACGAAAGCGUUGUGCCAAUUGUUCUCCUCAUCAACAUCUUUUUUUGAAUGUAUGCAGAUAUCCGUUGAUGGGGUGUACGUUGGUAGAUAGUUGUUUUGUUCUAGAAACACUUUUGUUGUGCUUGUACCACAUUUAAACGUAUUUGAUAACAUUGUUUGGUUACAACAUUUUUCG